ensembl:snoRNA
GCAGACUCACUCUGCACCUGACUGUACUUCCAGGCGGGUGCUUUUUCUGUCUGCCAGAUAAACAUUCCAGAGUGCUGUGGCUGCCUCACUUAUCCAGGGCGAUGCAGCUCCCUGGGGACACAGGU